UACGUAGGUGGCAAGCGUUGUCCGGAUUUACUGGCGUAAAGAGCGCGCAGGCGGUUGGAUAAGUCGAAUGUGAAAGCCCCCGGCUCAACUGGGGAGGGUCAUUCGAUACUGUCCGACUCGAAGGCAGGAGAGGGAAGCGGAAUCCCGGUGUAGUGGUGAAAUGCGUAGAUAUCGGGAGGAACACCAGUGGCGAAGGCGGCUUUCUGGCCUGU
rnacentral:rRNA from 1 species